AAAAAAUCAAGUAUGUAAAUGUUAGAAGCAGGGAAAGUUAAAUUGAAAGAGUUCGAAACUGACCGAGAACAGCGGUAGCUCCUAGGAGGGUAUCAGCUCCGGCGUACUUGCAAGACUUGCAAUAAACGACGCCUUGAACUUCAACAAGGCUCCUAGGGAAACGAUGGGUGGGUGUGGGUGGGUGAGCAGGAGCAACGUGCGGUGGAGGUGGGUGAGCAGGAGCAACGUGUGGUGGAGGUGGGUGAGCAGGAGCAACGUGUGGUGGAGGUGGGUGGGCAGGAGCAACGUGUGAAGGUGGGUGAGCAGGUGCAUGAGCGGGAGUGUGAGCCGGUGCAUGAGCCGGCGGGUGGGGGUGGUGGUGAUGAUGGUGGUGGCUUGGGGCGUGAGCCGGUGGGGCAGUAGGAGGGUGGCUGUGGUGGUGGUGGUGGUGGUGAUGGUGGGGGCUUGGUGCCGUUGCCGGGGUUACCGAGUGGUAGUGUGAUGGUGGCAUAGCCAUGGAACUCUCAGUGUAAACCUGUUCACCAUACACAGUGAAGCUGCAGCCGGCUAAGACCAAACAAACAUGAACAACAAUCAGUAAAGCUUUACCCAUUUUGUUUUGUUUUUUUUUUUCAGUCUUCUUUUAUCUCUAGUAAAGAAGAUGGCCAGCCAACUAGGGGGAGGGUGAGAGAGUGAGAGAGAUCGAGAGAGGUGGUGAAAACGAUCUCCGAUUGGGGGAAUUUAUAGGGGUUUUAACCCGUGAUUCUCUGCGGUUUUUUGUGAUAAAAUUUUUAUUUUAUAAUAUGGUGGUGGGGCUAUUAUUAUGCAUUAUGCUGUGAGGUGGACACAAACAUAAUGCAAAAGAAGAGAGAUAAUGAGAUAAUGCAAGAUUGAUUCGUUAAUUUGUUUUAGCGUUUGGUUGAGGCCCAAAUAAAAUUUGUUGAAUUUUUUUUUUAAUUUUAAAUCUAAUAUUAAAGUCUAAUGAUAUUCAUAAUACUGAUAUUCAAUGUCAAAUGUGUAGACAACUUCUAACAUCUCAAAUUGACUCCCAUAAUGUGUGUGUAUAUUAUUCAAGGAGACUUAAAAGGUCAUUCCACAUGUGUUGUGUGUAGAAAAAGAGUGACUAAUGAGUAGGGAUGGUAAAUUAAUCCGGACCAGGAUUGGACCCGGAUAAUCCGGUCCGGGUUUAACCCGUACCGGAAGGUAAUACAAUGCGGAUCCGAAAAGGAUAUUUUGAACCCGGAUAUAUUCCGGUCCGGAUCCGGUUUAUCUUAACCCGGAUGUCCGAAACCCGGACCCGAAUAAUUUAAUUAUAAAAGAAAAAAAAAAACCUAAUGCCUUAAGUCUUAACCUACUGCAGCCGCUUCUUUCUUCUCCAAUUUCUCUUUCUUUCUCCUCCAUCUUCUCUUUUCAUUAAAACAAACCCACUGCAGCUGCUUUCUUUCUUCUCCAAUUUCUCUUUCAUUCACUCAAAUGACUUGGAAAAAUCUUUGUAUUGAAAGGAAGACAAAGAGGAAUGCACCCAUUAAGGCUUAUACUCAUUUUUUGUCACUCUUGCUGGUUUUUGACAGCUACUUUCCGCCACUCUUGCUGAUUUUUUGUCACCAGAAAUUGCCGAAUCUCCACAGCAACUUUUUGACGAUGCUCUCCUCGACGCCGACGACAACACCAAUGCCACCAAAAAUCUGAAAACUCAGCAAUCCUCCCUCAACAUUCAUUUAGCUAUGGUUUCAGGAUUUUGGUGAUUUGAGAUUUGGAGAUUUGAGGAAGUAACAUCAAGAGAAAAAAAAAAAUUGUAAUAGAUAUGCGGGUUUAGAACCUGCAAUCCAAAAAUUUGACUUUUUCUGGGUUCAAUCCGAUUCGGACCUACAAUAAAAAUAUCCAGAUUAUAUCCAGAUCCGGUAUAACAAAAUUAUCAUUCGGAUUCAGAAUCGAAAAGACUGGACUCGAACCCGGAUCCAGAUUUUGCCAUCCCUAAUAAUGAGUGGGUUCCAUACGUUAUUUUACUUACUAGGGAAAAAUUAUACCGGUGGAGGAUUUUAAAAGGAUAAUUAGGAAUACAAGGUGAUUAAAUCCCAAGAGAUCGUUGUAAACAAGUGGCUCAGAGAUUCACAUGCAGAGGUGAGACCGUGCGAGUGGGCUCCGGAAUUUUGGCACAUGUAGCGAGGCAAUGUAGAAGUUUCCGAUGUUUCUUUGGUUACUGAACCUCUCGUCUUUAUUUUUUUAAAAUUAAAUUAAAUAGUACGUUGAUUCUUUGGUUUGGGAAAUUAAUGAUAUUUACUAAAACUCUUGGUAAAUGGUAAAUAAGAUGAAUGAUUGGUAUGGGCCCAACCAAAAAGUAAUGGCAAGUGAUAAAAUUUCGAGCUCUUUGUGGAUAAAGAAAGAAUAUUGUACGUUACAAUAAUUUUUGACGUUGAAGUUCCUGUGUUUCACAAGAAAAGUGAAAAUAAAAUAAAGCAACCUUAAUUUCCUCCGUUAUUAAAAAUAUUAUAAUAUUUUAAAAAUAUAUUAAUUAUUUAUUUUAAAUUAAUAAAAUAUAUUUAUUAUCUAUUAAAUUAUUAAUUAACGUUGAAAGAUAAUGACAUUAGAAGGGUAAUUUAAUAUUUUCACACGAUAUAAAAAAUAAUAAAAGAAUUUAAGAAUAUAAAAAUGAUAAUUUAAAAGUACGUAAGUGAUAAUAAGAUAAUUUAAGAGUAUAUAAAUAAUAAUUUUUUUAUUUUAAUUUAAAUUUCAAAAAUAAAAUAUCAAUUCGCUGUAUUAACUUUCAGAUGGUAACUAAUGAUUUAGUUAUUAGUAUAUAUAUUUUGUCAACUUAAAAUGAACGAUUAAUAUUAUUUUUUACAACAAAACAAAUAUAAGGUAUAAAAUGAUAAUUUCCCUAACAUAAAUAAAGAAAUGAAACACUAUUUUCGCUUUUGCCACUUUCGUUUUCGGUUUCGAAUUAUCGUCGGAGUCUAGAAACUAGGUUGUGUAUUUAUUAUAUGUGCUCUGUUUUUAUUUGUUUAUCUUUUCUCUGUUCUGACACCUUAGAAAACUUAAUCAGAAAACGACAUGGCAAGGAGAAAAGAAAAUAUUAUACUAGGGUUAUUGAUAUUAAAUCAGAGCUAGAAUUAGCCUUAGGGUUCCUUCUUUUAAACCCUAAAAAUUGAAAACUCAAGUUUAUUAUUUAUCGUAAUAUAAUUAAAUUCCGACAAAGUUAAAUAAUGGGUUCAUUUGAUGGGUAAGUCGUGUAAAAUUUAUCAAUCGUUUUUCGCGUAAAAUUAAUAGUAGAAAUUUCCAAAUCUAAGCGAAUGUCAAAUUUGGUCCAACGCAUGAAAUAAAUUAAAACUCUGGAGAUGAUAACUUUCUAGAUAAUGUAAUUGAGCUUUUUAUAUAUGGAACUGCAAAUGUAAUUCCUCUGUCCCGCAUUUCGGUCCUUUUAUAGAAGGUUAGAUAUUAUAUUUUGAUGAACUAUUAUUUGAACUAAUUAAAUAAUGAUCGCUCCUUGCACAUAUCCACUGGGAUGCGUUUCAAGAGACAGAAUGAUAUCUGCUGUACCGUACAUCCGCCUUGGCCGUACAGCAGAUUAAUAAAAUAUAUUUAUUAUCUAUUAAAUUAUUAAUUAACGUUGAAAGAUAAUGACAUUAGAAGGGUAAUUUAAUAUUUUCACACGAUAUAAAAAAUAAUAAAAGAAUUUAAGAAUAUAAAAAUGAUAAUUUAAAAGUACGUAAGUGAUAAUAAGAUAAUUUAAGAGUAUAUAAAUAAUAAUUUUUUUAUUUUAAUUUAAAUUUCAAAAAUAAAAUAUCAAUUCGCUGUAUUAACUUUCAGAUGGUAACUAAUGAUUUAGUUAUUAGUAUAUAUAUUUUGUCAACUUAAAAUGAACGAUUAAUAUUAUUUUUUACAACAAAACAAAUAUAAGGUAUAAAAUGAUAAUUUCCCUAACAUAAAUAAAGAAAUGAAACACUAUUUUCGCUUUUGCCACUUUCGUUUUCGGUUUCGAAUUAUCGUCGGAGUCUAGAAACUAGGUUGUGUAUUUAUUAUAUGUGCUCUGUUUUUAUUUGUUUAUCUUUUCUCUGUUCUGACACCUUAGAAAACUUAAUCAGAAAACGACAUGGCAAGGAGAAAAGAAAAUAUUAUACUAGGGUUAUUGAUAUUAAAUCAGAGCUAGAAUUAGCCUUAGGGUUCCUUCUUUUAAACCCUAAAAAUUGAAAACUCAAGUUUAUUAUUUAUCGUAAUAUAAUUAAAUUCCGACAAAGUUAAAUAAUGGGUUCAUUUGAUGGGUAAGUCGUGUAAAAUUUAUCAAUCAUUUUUCGCGUAAAAUUAAUAGUAGAAAUUUCCAAAUCUAAGCGAAUGUCAAAUUUGGUCCAACGCAUGAAAUAAAUUAAAACUCUGGAGAUGAUAACUUUCUAGAUAAUGUAAUUGAUUGUCCAAGUGAUUGAGCUUUUUAUAUAUGGAACUGCAAAUGUAAUUCCUCUGUCCCGCAUUUCGGUCCUUUUAUAGAAGGUUAGAUAUUAUAUUUUGAUGAACUAUUAUUUGAACUAAUUAAAUAAUGAUAUAAUUUUUAUUAUUUUAAUCGAGAUAUAAAUUAAAUAUUCUAAUUAAGCAAAUAUAGUAUUAUUUUUAUGUUUUCAUUGGCUUGAUUCUUGACCAAAUCAUCUUUCAGUACGCAUCCCUCAGUUGAUUACUGACAUGGCAUUAACCCUUCCCUGGUUGAGACGCAAGUAACAGGUACCUACUGGCGAUCGAGGUCGGUUGAAUUAUUUGAUGCAGUACAUCAUAAAAUUUUUUUACUAAAUUUGGUAUAGAUUAUAUCACAUUAACAUAAUUUUUUUAAUAAAAAUUUACUAAUGGUAUAUAAUUAAUAAUUCUUAAUUGACAUUUCUCUCUCCUACUUGUUUGCUUAUCCUUCCACCAUUUUUAUUUUAUUUUUUUCAUUUAUCUCUUACUUUGUGUUUUGUUUCAGCUUCUCAUAAACUCUUUCACUCCCAAUCUAUAAACAAAUAUUUUCAUGCAUUUGUCAUAGAAUUCCAGUUAAAUCAUAUAUUUUUGGUCCAACAGUACUUAUCGGAAAAAAAAUUAUUUCAACAAAAAAUCAUUGAUUUUUAUUUAAGCCCACAUUAAUUGAUCCACAUUUCCACACACAAGUAAAAUUAUACAACCUCGCAUACAAAAUGCAGCUUUUAAAGUUCAGAAGUUUCACUAUGCUCUGAUUUUACAAUCAUAAAGAUUGCAAAUAAUAUUUUUUUUUUAAUCAAAAAGGCAUAAAUGACAAAGCUUUUAUUAUAAUGAUCGGCCGAUGAAUCGCAUGUGCCAGAAGAGCCGAAGACAAACCCAGUAAAGCAGAAAAAACAAAAAAGUAUUAACUCAUAGGACAAGUUUAAUUAAUAAAAAUUAAUUAUAUUGAGUAAGAAAUAAGGAUCACUUAAAUUUUAUUUCUUCUUGUGUUUGGGGUAAAAGGAUUAUAUAUAGCUUUACUGAUGUAAUCAUCAUCAGGUAUGUGUAAUUUAUGAAGCUGCGUCCAUAACCGGAUCCACCAAGAAGUCACAUUUAAAUCGAACAGCUGUUUUUGUAUUCAAUCGAGAGAUUAUACAUUAGGCUUAGGGUUGCAGCACCUCAAUGGCGAGCUGAAAAUAAUAAAUUGUUGUUGACUUAGAAAUAUAAAAUGAAUUAGAAUGAUCGAGAUAAUCGGAUAUAACAGAUCAUAUUAUAAUAAAUACGAUCUGAUCCGAUGUAAUGGAGUUCGAUAAUAUCAAUACCGAUUGUGCGUAUAAGCCAAUAGCAGUUCUUGAUUUCUUGUAUUGUAUGAUUGUGUUGUAUCCAUUCGAUUCAAGCAUAAAAUAUAAAAAAUGAGACGGGUAUGAGUUGAGCAGUGCUGCAAAAGAAAAGAUGAUCGCCCACUCAGCCGCUUGGCAGUUUGCAUGCAGUCCAUGAGCAGCCAUUUUUCAUUCAGCUGCUCACCGUCCUUGGUCCUUAUUCCUAAUAUUUAUUACCCUAUCAACUAACUCUCUUGUAAUUUUUUUUUUUUUUUACAACAUCAAUGAUAUAAGUAACAUGUACUGUUGAAUCUAAUCAGCUGUACAAAUUAUUUCUAUUAAUAAUUUUUUUAAAAUAAUAGAACUAGUUAACAAUCGGUUCAAAAUGUGAUUUGAAAUUUAAAAAAAAAAGUAAAAAGAGAUAUGAUAAAAAUAAUAAUAUCUCGGGUUCUUUUAUUUAAAAUUAAACAAGUAUUACUUAUUUUAUAGCAUUUUGAUGUCGAAACAUAUGAACCGCUUUGAUUAUUUUAAUUGAUUUGAUAGUUAAUCCUUGUGACUUUGAGUCCUAUUAUCAAAUUGGGUUACUUUAAAAAAAAAAUGAAAGAGAAAGUGGUUGUGCAAGGGUUUAUCAAUGAUUAUUUUUUAGGUACUUAAACUUAUAUCUAAGGCUGAACCUUAUCUAAACUACUUGCUUUUGGUCGCCCGAGCACAGCCUGCCAACAAUUAUGGCGGUUGAAUUUGAAUGGAAGACUAGUAUUCUUUCCAAGCAGUGGACCUAAGAAAGGGCGAAGCAAGUGACUUUUACAAUUACUUUGCUUCUUCUGUUCAUUAAAAUACACUUUGCAUUUGACGUGUGGUUAUUUCAAGAUGAUUUGGUACCAAAACUUAUUUUUAAGUUAUGCCAAUUAAAUUCAAAAUAGCAAUAUUUAAUUGUUUUCAUUAUACCCCGGAAAUUCUUCUUUUGUUAAAUUAAAAUUAUGCAUAAUUUGAUUCUAUAAGAAUGUAGCCCGUAUAAUGGUCGACUUUUACCUAUCUAAUUCUUUGAAAUAUUUUAUAUUUGUAUGAAUAAUAUGAUCUUCCAGGGACUUUUAGUCGCUCAUGUGCUUUAUUUUGUUAUCCCUCGUAUAUUCUUUGGUUUCAUGAUUGUUGAUUUCAUGUAGAAGAUUUAUUUAUAUUUGUACAGGAAAGAUAGUUUUACUUUUCAAAUUAUCACAGGAGACUCUCUGCUUGUUAUUGACUUAUUAUUUCAUCAAUUGUGCUAGAUGAAGGAAAUGGAGUUCAAGAAGUUGUUCGAUACACAAAAUAUUGCUGCCUUGCUGCCUUUCGUAUUAAGAGGAAUCCGAUUCAGUGUGUUCUCCUUCCUCACUGCUCGUUGCCAGCUCUUGAAGUGCACCCAACAUUUACCGUACGAAAAGCGGUCUGCUGUACCGUACAUCCGCCUUGGCCGUACAGCAGAAUAAAAAUGAAAAUGAAAAUGGUGUUUUGCAAUUGCUGUAUUUCGAAUUUCAAUAUGUGUCUAGUAUCAUUUUCUGUAUCCUGUAUUUUAAAACUAAAAACUAAAAACAGUAAUAUGCGUUUGGUAGACACAGUUGAAAAUUAGGGGUGGGCAAUAGUCGGUUCGGCCGAGCCGAGCCGAACCGAACCAAAACCAAUCGGUUCUUUAGAAGAUGAACCGAAUAGGGACCGAAUUUAGGAACCGAACCGAACCGAACCGAAAUAUUUCGGUUCGGUUCGGUUCGGUUCCUAAAUUCGGUCCCUAUUCGGUUCAUCUUCUAAAGAACCGAUUGGUUUUGGUUCGGUUCGGCUCGGCUCGGCCGAACCGACUAUUGCCCACCCCUAAUUUUCAACUGUGUCUACCAAACGCAACUACGCACAGGAUCCUUCAACAACGUUCUUCCAAAGAUUGGUGUAGGUAACAAGUUCUGUGCUGCCACCCAACUUCGAAAAACUUCCCACACACACAUUCCCCCACACACACCCACACCCACACCUAGUAGCCCUGCUGUACGGCCAAGGCGGAUGUACGGUACAGCAGAUGACACACACACACACACACACAUAUAUAUAAAUCGGUCUCAAGUUAGUCUUGACUGUAAAAUCCAUUUUGUGGCGAAGUGCAAAGUAUGACAAGAGAUGACAAGGCAAAAGCAGCCAGCCAAUAUAACAAGAUAAUAAAUAAUAGUAUCACCACCAAUCUAGCGAGUUCACUUCGUUUAUCCUUAAUGAAGUCAAGCAUGACAAUGCCAAAAGAUAGUCAAUCAUAAUUAAAAUUCAAAACAAGUGAAAAAAAAUCAUCAUAAAACCUUGAAAAUCAUUGUAGACAAGGUUCCAUUAUCCAUAGCAACAAAAGUCAUGGCAACUAAUUAUAACCACUGAUCUCCAAAGGGCACCAUACACUAUCAUAAUUGAAGUAUUCUGCUGCUUGACUUACAACAUCAAGAACAUCAGGUCAAAAAGGGCCAGAAUCCUUUCAGCUUGUUAGUCUGCUACUGUCAUGAUGCAAACCACUCACUGGCAGGCAUCUGUUUUUAGAAAAAAAAAGACUUCGACCUGUAAUCAUCAAAUCGUAAUUUAGCAAUCAGCAAUUCAAAUCCGCUACAGGGUUGAGCAACCUUUUGCAAAUCAAAAAGUUUGCACUAAUUCACAUAAUACAACUAAUACUAAAAUGAAUCUAAAACUCAGAUCAGGAAGUGGUCAAAGCCAUUAAAGGAAUGGUCAGAGUGUAACAAGCUACCAGGUGUUAACAAUGGAGGGAAGUGGUACAGUGUGCUUGAAUAUGCAAAAACAAUCAGAGUCUACCAACUGCAAUGAACUGGAUGCAGUAGGAAAUGCAUUAGUUGCCACCGUUAAGAAGAUAACCGUUGCCCACAGACAACAACAGUGUUGGAUACAUCCUAAGAAGAAACAGGGUACCUUCACUUUAUCUCUUUUAAGAAGAUUAAACAGUUCAAUAUGGAGGUAUAACAGAAACAGUGGACUACACUGAAGAAGAUAUUCGAUUGAAAAUUAAGGAGUUGAUUAAAUCUUUAAGAUACUGAGACAGCAUAGUUUUUUAUGAAUGGAAACAAAAUAGUAGCCAUGUUGCAAGUUACAAAUUCAGCCUGGAAGCAGAAUUUUUUUUUGCGACAAGGAUGGCAUGAAGAUGACCGGCGUCGCACGAGCUUUCAAUCGGUACCAACCUUGGUCGGAGGAGUGGCCGGAAACGGAGACAAAAUCCGAGUUGGGUUCGUGGGUAUUGUGAUAAAGAGAGGGGUAUUGUGAUGUAUGUGCAAUAUAGAAUAAAAAUGUGUAAAUAGUAAAUAGUUUAAGGUGCUAAGUAAAAUGUUCAUAUGGAUGCAGUAGAAAUUAACUUAAUAUUUAUAAAGUAAAGAUUAAAUAAAAUUGAGUAAAAUGGGUUCUAUAAAAAUUUACAAUUGUGCUGACAAAAAGACAAAAAUAGUGGUACGGUACCACUGUGGUACCGUAGCUUGAUCCUCCUUAAAGUUUGAAUUAAUGAUAGAAUUACACAAAUAUUUUACUUUAGUGGGCUUAUUGAUGACAUGCGUAUCAUUUUUGUCAAUUUAUAGUUGUAAAUUUAUAUUUUUAAAAUGUAUUUUAAUCAUCAUUCCUACUUACCUCACAAAGUUGCUUUGUUUUCCCAAAAAAAGAAAAAGAAAAAAACCGUUUGAAAUAUUUUUUACGUGAUGCAUAAUUAUUGUGAGAAAAUAUAUACGAUGUUUGGGUGUUGUUUUACCAAUUUUCUAUCUAAAUAUGCAUAUGAAUAAACAUGUGAUUGACUUGUAAAAAUAAUGUGGUACUUUAAAUGUACAAAAUCGAUUAUGGAAUGCAAUUUAAUAUGCUCUAUAUUACUUUGAAGUUGGACACCGCGGUUAACUAACUACAAUAUGCACUAAAAAGGUGCUAUUGAAAUGAAUAUGUGAUUUUAAUCAUUUUAAAAUCUGAAAUUUGUGAUCUAAAACAUUUCGGGCAGAUGUUUAAUCGCAGCAGUUAUCUUUCACAAAUUAAAAAUUUUUACAUCAAAUUUUUUAGAGUAAUGAUACAGCCACAAACUCUUGUACAAACUUAUUUUGUACAAACUGACGUGGCAUGAUAAGAUUGGUUGAAUGAAAAUAUAAAUUAAUAAAAACAAAUCAUGUGGGCCAAGUGAUAUUUAAUUCAACCAAUCUUAUCAUGCCACAUCAGUUUGUACAAAAUAAAUUUGUACAAGAGUUUGUGGCUGUAUCAUUACUCAAUUUUUUAUUUUAUUUUAAGUGGUCGUCAAUUUAUCUUCCAUUCCUAGUUUUUUUUUUAAAUACCGAUAAUACACCAGAUUAUUGAAUUACAUUAGAUAUUUACAAUUGUUAUUACAAUAGAUAAUUAUAUUGAUAUUUAUAAUCAGACAUAUAAUUGGAGGUAUUAAAGUACCUUGUCCAGAUAAAUAACCCUCACAAACGAAGAAUAUUUCUACUCCAUUCUUAUUUCAUAAGGAAAAGAACUUACAAAUAAAUCUACACAAUUAUACAUAAUUCUUAAUUCUCAUUACCCUCAUUAUCUGUGAGGGUAAUGAGGGUAAAAGUUCACCGGUCCAGUGCUAUGCUAGUUAAGUGAUUGUGAUCUAACCAUUCGGGAAAUCUCAAUAGACCUUGUAUUUCGGUCGUUUUACAUUUUCCAUGACCAAUGGGCCAGCGCCACAAAAUAAAUUAAGAUUUAAAAUAACUAACAUAAAUGAUUAUUUAAUUUAAUAAUACUAGGGGAAAAAAAAGAGAGUAAACAAAUUCCAAGGACUUGACUUUUCUUUUUGAACAGUAUGCCAGGAAAAAAGUAACAAUUGCUAUGUCUCUCAUGUUUGCCACAAGGCAGACCACUCAAUUAGUUUCAUUACUUCCCUUUUUCUUGGUUUUGAUUAAAUAUAUAUAUAAUUACCAUUUAAUUUUAGAUCCGCCGUAAAAUUUUAUAACAUGGGUACAUUUAUGAUGACAAAAACAUUAAAAAAGAGGAAAAAAAACAUGAUCCAUAGCAUAUGCAUUUAUAAAUAUAAUUCAUAUUCAAACAAUGAGCCUCAUAAUUUAUUUGUUGCUAAUUAAACUAGCGGGAUACUAUAAUUUAUUAAUGCCAACGAAGCGACACAGUACAAAUAGACUUGCACUUGUGAGCUCCGUAGCUGAUGAUUGUCUUGGGUGCUUUGAUCCUGAAGUAGCCGUUCUUGUCCGUUUUGCCAACCACAUUGAGUGGAUACUUGGUGUUGUUGCACUGCAAUUUCAGAGUCGCCCCUGCAAUUGAACCCAUGGACAAUAUUAAAAGAAUAAAAAAAAAUUUAAAUACUAGGGACUUCAAAAAGAGAGCUUGAAAAAGGAAAAAGUAGCUAGCUAUGCUGCCAUAACCAUGCCUCCUACUGAAUGUGACAUAAACCUAGAACAAAGAGAAAGAAAGAGAUCAAGAGCACCUCUCUCUCUCUCCAUUCAAAAUCUGGAAAUGUAUACAUCACGCAUCCAUGAAAACAAAUGCACAUUCGCAUCCAUACGUAUGUUAUGUAUGCAUGAUAUCUAACUAAACAUACAUGUGAAAUUAAUUGAAGUAAUAAUGAUAGAAAAAAAUCAAGUAUGUAAGAGUUUGGAGCAGGGAAAAUUAAGUUGAAAGAUUUCGAAACUGACCUAGAACAGCGGUAGCUCCUAGGAGGGUAUCAGCUCCUGCGUACUUGCAAGACUUGCAAUAAACGACGCCUUGAACUUCAACAAGGCUCCUAGGGAAACGAUGGGUGGGUGUGGGUGGGUGAGCAGGAGCAACGUGUGGUGGAGGUGGGUGAGCAGGAGCAACGUGCGGUGGAGGUGGGUGAGCAGGAGCAACGUGUGAAGGUGGGUGAGCAGGUGCAUGAGCGGGAGUGUGAGCCGGUGCAUGAGCCGGCGGGUGGGGGUGGUGGUGAUGAUGGUGGUGGCUUGGGGCGUGAGCCGGUGGGGCAGUAGGAGGGUGGCUGUGGUGGUGGUG
rnacentral:lncRNA from 1 species